AUUGAACGCUGGCGGCAUGCCUUACACAUGCAAGUCGAACGGCAUCGCGGGAAAGCUUGCUUUCCUGGCGGCGAGUGGCGAACGGGUGAGUCACACAUCGGAACGUACCGGCUAGUGGGGGAUAACCCGUCGAAAGACGGGCUAAUACCGCAUACGCUCUUCGGAGGAAAGCAGGGGACCUUUGGGCCUUGCGCUAGCCGAGCGGCCGAUGUCCGAUUAGCUAGUUGGUGGGGUAAAGGCCUACCAAGGCGACGAUCGGUAGCGGGUCUGAGAGGACGAUCCGCCACACUGGGACUGAGACACGGCCCAGACUCCUACGGGAGGCAGCAGUGGGGAAUCUUGGACAAUGGGGGCAACCCUGAUCCAGCAAUGCCGCGUGGGUGAAGAAGGCCUUCGGGUUGUAAAGCCCUUUCGGCAGGGAAGAAAUCGGCGGGGCGAAUAACCCUGCUGGAUGACGGUACCUGCAGAAGAAGCACCGGCUAACUACGUG
rnacentral:rRNA from 1 species